rnacentral:rRNA from 1 species
ACAGGGUGACAGGUGGUGCAUGGUUGUCGUCAGCUCGUGUCGUGAGAUGUUGGGUUAAGUCCCGCAACGAGCGCAACCCUCGACCUUAGUUGCCAGCAUUCAGUUGGGCACUCUAAGGUGACUGCCGGCUAAAAGUCGAGGAAGGUGGGGAUGACGUCAAAUCAUCAUGCCCCUUAUGACCUGGGCUACACACGUGCUACAAUGGGCGGUACAAAGGGUCGCGAACCCGCGAGGGGGAGCCAAUCCCAAAAAGCCGCUCUCAGUUCGGAUUGCAGGCUGCAACUCGCCUGCAUGAAGCCGGAAUCGCUAGUAAUCGCGGAUCAGCAUGCCGCGGUGAAUACGUUCCCGGGCCUU